AUGUCAGGGCACACACGCCCCUUGGUGCCCUCCAGCCUUCUGUGGGCCCUGGUGGCCUUCACUUGCUCUGGAUCCAGUGUGGCCCAGAAUGUUACUCAAGACCAGCCAAGUGUAUCUACGAAAGAGGGGUCAGCAGUCACCUUGAGGUGCCGGUAUGAAACACGUUGGCGUUCAUACAUCCUUUACUGGUACAAGCAGCUUCCUGAUGGAAAUAUCACUUACCUUAUUUAUCAGGAUUCUGAUGAGGACAAUGCAGUAAAGGGUCGCUAUUCUAUAGACUUGCAGAAAGCAGACAAAUCCAUCUCCCUCAUCAUUUCACCCUUGCAACUGGAAGAUUCAGCAUUGUAUUUCUGUGCUCUCAGAGAUGCACUGUGUUUGAAGUGA